rnacentral:snRNA from 1 species
UUUUUGGUCCCAAGGCUC